rnacentral:rRNA from 1 species
UACGGGGGGGGCAAGCGUUGUUCGGAAUUACUGGGCGUAAAGGGCUCGUAGGCGGCCAACUAAGUCGGACGUGAAAUCCCUCAGCUUAACUGGGGAACUGCGUCUGAUACUGGAUGGCUUGGAUUCGGGAGAGGGAUGCGGAAUUCCAGGUGUAGCGGUGAAAUGCGCAGGUAUCAGGAGGAACACCGGUGGCGAAGGCGGGUCUCUGGGCCGAUACUGACGCUGAGGCGCGAAAGCGUGGGGAGCAAACAGG